CCUACGGGACGCAGCAGUGGGGAAUAUUGGACAAUGGGGGGAACCCUGAUCCAGCGACGCCGCGUGAGUGAAGAAGUAUUUCGGUAUGUAAAGCUCUAUCAGCAGGGAAGAAAGAAAUGACGGUACCUGACUAAGAAGCCACGGCUAACUACGUGCCAGCAGCCGCGGUAAUACGUAGGUGGCAAGCGGUGUCCGGCUUUACUGGGGGUAAAGCGCGGGUAGCCGGGCUGACAAG
rnacentral:rRNA from 1 species